UUUGGCUGCACCGGAAUUAUUUUUUCCGUGUAUAUGAAAAGAAAAGAAUAAAUACAUGACAAGCAAAAAAUGCGUAACAAGUGUGGUAGGUACUGUAUCCUAGGCUCAGAUAUCGUCCGAAUCUUGCGACUUACUGGAAUAAUGACGAUUCGUUAUCUCGCGAACGCGCACUUCUUCACAUCCCACGAACGUACGUUUGGUCCCGUCGCGACGACAUCGGUAAACGCGUAACCCUGUAACUGAAACGACGAUUUCCGGCUGUGAAAUCUCCGGUGUUCCCCGGCAGGAUGUUGCUCGGCCGCGCAGACAUGUGCUAAUUAAAGUACCUUUACAGCUUCACUUCGGCCGGUGCUCCGUUGAUGAGCCGCUUAUAGCGCGCUACAUAGUACACGGGCCAGCAGAUGAUCGGGGAUAACGACCGUCGCCGACGAAUAUCCGCUCGCAAGACAUUCGGGUAUUUCCUGCCGAAUCAUCCAUUAUUCCCGAGCCCGUUCAGAUCGAUUAGACUAGGCCACCGGGGACUACUCCCCCGACCGACGUAUCCUCGCUUUACCAACGCCCCAACCUAGAUUCUACUCUCGAAAUAGAGCGAGAUUAUACUUCAAACGUGAAUUACCCGCAGGAAACCCGUCUGAAUAAAGUCAUGGCGCUAGCAAGCGAAACGCGACUCCAUUGUGCUUGUUGUAUUCUCGGAUGGACAACUCGACGGAGUGUAUUUUCGCGAAAGAGAAAUGGAGGCAGAGCGAGCAGAAGCAUCUCUUAUUCUUAAUACGUGGCUUUUCCCAGUCACACCGCAGAGCUCGCGCGAUAAAAGCAAACGCGAUAAAUCAGAAACGUAUGGAAUAUAGUGCGGUCGCAUGCUUGAAUGACUGCACCUUCGGCAACUGCUCGCGCUACAGAGUGAAAGUUCCGCGAACUACUCUCGCCUGCCAUCAUAUCCUUUUCCACCCUCUCGUCGUACCCAUCGCCCUCGCCGCCGUAUCGAAGACUACAUCGGCGGGUCAGAUUAUUCGCCGAAACUUCGGGAUUCGUCGACCAAGGAACGCGAAUAACUUGUCGCUCUUCUCCGUCGUGUGGUCGUCUUCCUCGAUGGGAUAGAUACACGAAGCAGGGAACGCUGUGCGGAUCUAUGCGGAACUAUGCGGCGGCAACUGCGUUGCCGCAGAUGAUGACGAGCGAAUUUCAUAGAGAUUCGAGGCAAAGGGUCGGUACGGGGCUGAGCGACGGCGAAGACGCUGGAAACCAGCUUGCAUCUUAUGCCACCUUGGCGGUCCGUCUCCUUCUCACCACAGUAGAGUACAAAAUUAUAAAAAAGGAGAUGCAAGCAAAAAUGCAUGAGAAAGAGAAGGAGAUGUAUGAAAUGAAAAUAAUAAACUUGCAGUAUGUGAAGGAUGAUCUAAAAAAGGAACUUAAACUGACAGUGAAUAUAUUAAAAUCCAAGAUGGAUGCAAAAGUAAAGAUUACUGUGAAAGAGUUUAUGGAGAAGCAAACAAAGAAAGCAAAGAGUUGAUGGAGAAACAAGCAAAGAAAGUGCAUGAGAAAGAGAAGGAGAUGUAAACAAAGGUGCAUGAAAAGGAGAAGGAGAUACAAGCAAACAUGCAUGAGAAGAAGAAGAAGAUACAAGAAAGCUGCAUGAAAAGGAGAUAAUAAACUUGCAGCAUGUGAAGGAUGAUCUAAAAAAGGAAUUUAAUACUUCCAUUAACACACAGCUAGAGUAACCCAUGACUCAAAACUUCUCACUAACUGUUGCCGAUUUUGGUACUGGAGCAACAUAAUUUUGCAGAAAACUGCAAGUGAGUUGUGCCAUCAAAGAGCAUGGGGAAGUUUCUUCAAAUCACCACAUGGAACGUGUUAAAUAUUAGUUUUAACAUUUUGAUGUAUUUUUUUAUAUUCUAUGUCACUGUUUUUUAGACAAAUACAAAUCUGAAGUAUAUCAUGGAAAGGAGGCAAUGACUCCUAGAAGCAUUAUGGAUUAUAUUGAAUGUCGGAAGAUUAGUGACUGUUCUUCAGGAAGAAAUAAAAUAUGGAUAAAGUAUCUAGAGAAGCCAGAAGUAGAAGUUUUCUGAAGAUUUCUGUGAUGAAAAAGACAGCAACCACUGCUGAGGAACUUUAUAGAAAUAAAAGCAAAUUUGUUCACUCUAUGUAUAAAUUUGACCAAAAAGUCACCAUGGUUGAUUUGUUGCUUAACAUCAAAUGGAAGCUAAUGAUAUUAACAUGGAAAUUGAUUCCACUUCUAAAAGAUACACUUUUCAAGGUUAAAUCUGAUGGGAUAGAAGAAAUAGUAGCUUAUAAGCCUCUAUAAAAGAUGAAUUUUGGUAUUUCAAUGUUGAAAAAGUGCUAACUUAAGUUGAUCUCGCUAUUAUGUAAACUUUUUGUUGGUCAAGUUAUUGUUAAAUGAAAUUAUUCUUGCAGAAAUAAUAAAUGUGU